CCUACGGGAGGCAGCAGUGAGGAAUAUUGGUCAAUGGGCGGAAGCCUGAACCAGCCAAGUAGCGUGCGGGAUGAAGGCCCUACGGGUCGUAAACCGCUUUUGCACGGGGAUAACACCCUCCACUUGUGGCGGUCUGCGGGUACCUUACGAAUAAGGACCGGCUAAUUCCGUGCCAGCAGCCGCGGUAAUACGGAGGGCCCGAGCGUUAUCCGGAUUCAUUGGGCUUAAAGGGAGCGUAGGCGGGCGGUCAAGUCAGCGGUAAAAUCGCGCGGCUCAACCCCGGCGCGCAGUUGAAACUGGACGUCUGGAGUUGACAACAGGCAGGCGGAAUGCGCGGUGUAGCGGUGAAAUGCAUAGAUAUUACGAGGAACCCCGAUUGCGAAGGCAGCAUGCCGGGGUGCGACUGACGCUGAGGCUCGAAGGUGUGGGUAUCAAACAGGAUUAGAUACCCCUGUAGUC
rnacentral:rRNA from 1 species